rnacentral:rRNA from 1 species
UACGUAGGCAGCAAGCGUUGUUCGGAAUCACUGGGCGUAAAGGGCGCGUAGGCGGCCGAUCAAGUCGGGGGUGAAAGCCUGUGGCUCAACCACAGAAUUGCCUUCGAUACUGUUUGGCUUGAGACCGGAAGAGGUUAGUGGAACUGCGAGUGUAGAGGUGAAAUUCGUAGAUAUUCGCAAGAACACCAGUGGCGAAGGCGGCUGACUGGUCCGGUUCUGGACGCUGAGGCGCGAAAGCGUGGGGAGCAAACAGG